rnacentral:rRNA from 1 species
ACUUUCAGUGGCAGAUGUCUUGGCUCGAACAUUGAGGAAGGGCGCAGCAAAAUGCGAGAUGCAUUGUGACUUGCAGAAUUCCGGGAACCAAAUGACCAUUUGAAUGCGGACUGCGCUUUUGGGACACUCCUGGAAGCCAACCUGCGUCAGUGUCU